AAAUUCCUUGUCGGGUAAGUUCCGACCCGCACGAAAGGUAGAACGAUCUGGGCGCUGUCUCAACAGGGGACUCGGCGAAAUUGGAGUACCGGUGAAGAUACCGGUGACCCGUGGCAGGACAAAAAGACCCCGUGGAGCUUUACUCCAACUUGUCGUUGGGCGCGGGCGCGGCUUGUGUAGGAUAGGUGGGAGCCGAUGAAGCCGGGACGCUAGUCCUGGUGGAGGCGACGGUGAAAUACCACCCUGGCGGCGCUUGUGUUCUCACGCGUUGAGUGAUCCUCAACGCGGACCGCGGCUGGUGGGGAGUUUGACUGGGGCGGGCGGCUCCUUAAAAGUAAAGGG
rnacentral:rRNA from 14 species